rnacentral:lncRNA from 1 species
UGUCUAACCAGCGUGCUCCCUAUUCUCAAAACUUCCCUUUGACUAGAUGGGGAACAAUAAAUAUAUAUGCCCUCCUCAGUCCUGGAAAGAGCCACCUUGCUGUUUUCCAAAAGGAGAUCAUGACCUAUAACAGAAAAUAUAGGUCAUGUAGAGGCUUGUACAAUCUUCACUGGGAUCGUGUGACUGCAGACCCUGGUUUCACGAGCAACUGUUUGACAUAUCUUCUCCAGACAGCAUUUCGCACUUGCAUAUCAGCUGCAGCCUUUCCAAAAGUUGGGGAAAUCCUGCAAAUAAGGAACAUGGCAUCUGAUUCUUGGAAUAACAUUCUCUCUACACUCUUCCAGCUGCUGUGGAUACAUGUAAUGACUGAUUUUAUUUAAUAAGAAAGCUCAAAAUAUUUCCCAAUUCAGAACAUAACCCUGCAUGCUGCUCCCUCUAGUCUAACCAGAAAUCCCAUUCUCCUCCUCCUCUAACUCAAUAAACCAAAUCUAAUUGGAGAAUAAUUAUAAAAUACACUGAUGUGCAAUUUGUUUCACUUGCUCAAUAAUUAAUUAAUACACUACUUAUGAUUCAGAAGAGCUCUUAAGACACAGCACAAAUUCCACUGGAUGAAGGAGAAUACCAAAGAUAUAAGCCAGGGGCAGCAUCUUUACAUAAGAUGGGCCAAGAGAAAAAGAUAAGAGGGAAAAGAAGACAAAAUCUAUUUGGGCUUUUUGAAUCUAUGACGGAAUUUGUUUUUCCCCAUUUGAGGAUUCUCCUCUUGCCCUUUUCUACAAGUGAGGUAGAUUAUGUGUUUUGUUGAUGAAUUAUCAGCAAUACUCACACAGCUGAAUCAAGCUAACAGAUGGACUUUUUUAUUUUUAAACUUUCUAACCAUCAGAUGCUUUCAGGAGAGAAAACAGUCCUAAUCAAUGAAAUCCAGCUCCUAUAAACUCUUAGUUGAUUUGAGUAUAUACAUCCUAUGCUCAUUUGGGCAAUAUACUACUCCUAGCCCCUUUUGCCUUCAUACAAUUGAAUCUUGCAGUAGGAAAUGCCUUAGAUUUUUCCUUCAUUGUUUCAAAUGUGCAGUGCUUAUAAAUUGCUCUAAAGAUUUCAUGUAAAAUAAUUAUAAAGCUAUCUUCUUUUUCCUUUUGGAGACAUGAGAAUUAAAGUUAAAUUGAUUUCUUU